CCUACGGGAGGCUGCAGUGGGGAAUAUUGCGCAAUGGGCGAAAGCCUGACGCAGCGACGCCGCGUGAGGGAUGAAGGUCUUCGGAUCGUAAACCUCUGUCAGCAGGGAAGAACGGUCACUGUGCUAAUCAGCAGUGAAUUGACGGUACCUGCAAAGGAAGCACCGGCUAACUCCGUGCCAGCAGCCGCGGUAAUACGGAGGGUGCCAGCGUUAAUCGGAAUUACUGGUCGUAAAGCGCUCGUAGGCGGUAUGUCAAGUCAAAGGUGAAAUCCCCGGGCUCAACGCGGGAACUGCAUUUGAAACUGGUAAGCUAGAGUGUGUGAGAGGGGAGUGGAAUUCCAGGUGUAGCAGUGAAAUCCGUAGAGAUCUGGAGGAACACCGGUGGCGAAGGCGACCAUCUGGCCCAAGACUGACGCUGAGGUGCGAAAGCGUGGGUAGCAAACAGGAUUAGAUACCCUGGUAGUC
rnacentral:rRNA from 1 species